AGUGAACGCUGGCGGUAGGCCUAACACAUGCAAGUCGAACGGCAGCACAGUAAGAGCUUGCUCUUACGGGUGGCGAGUGGCGGACGGGUGAGGAAUACAUCGGAAUCUACUUUUUCGUGGGGGAUAACGUAGGGAAACUUACGCUAAUACCGCAUACGACCUACGGGUGAAAGCAGGGGAUCUUCGGACCUUGCGCGAUUGAAUGAGCCGAUGUCGGAUUAGCUAGUUGGCGGGGUAAAGGCCCACCAAGGCGACGAUCCGUAGCUGGUCUGAGAGGAUGAUCAGCCACACUGGAACUGAGACACGGUCCAGACUCCUACGGGAGGCAGCAGUGGGGAAUAUUGGACAAUGGGCGCAAGCCUGAACCAGACAUACCGCGUGGGUGAAGAAGGCCUUCGGGUUGUAAAGCCCUUUUGUUGGGAAAGAAAAGCAGCAGGUUAAUACCCAGCUGUUCUGACGGUACCCAAAGAAUAAGCACCGGCUAACUUAGUG
rnacentral:rRNA from 1 species